AAACGGUACCUAGGCUGACUUCCUGAGCCACCAGGUAAUCAGAGACGAACCCAACUUGGGAGGCAGGGCUUCAGUGGUGCGGGCAACUGGACCACAGCUUUAAGCUAUAGGAAAAGCAAGGGAAAGUGAGCAGAGGGUCUCUAUUCUCUGGACAAAAUUAGUCCAUCUUGUUUCACAUUCCCUUCUGGUAAAACCAAGUCACUCAAUGGGUGAAAAUUCCCAAGAUCAUUUUCAGAAAAGAAAAUUGGGGCUGGGUUUGUUUUUGUUAUUUUUUUUUCCGAUUACACUCCCUGCUCCCAGGAAUUUAUUAGUUUGAUAUUGUUAAAAGAAUUGUUCCCACUGGAUGGCUAUGAAUCACUAAAAUCUCCAGAGGGCAGGAAGAUACCUUCCUUUGGUUACUGAUAUGAGGCUGAGUAGAAGGGGGUGUGUUCUUUGAGACUGUGUGCCCAGGAGUGAGACUGGGGGCUUGUUCUCAGCUGGGAAUCAUGUCUAGAAGGAAGCCGAGGAGAUUCUCCAUUAGGCAGUUAAGUCCAAAACCCCAAACAUCUUCAAGGGAAUUAUGGAUGUCAGGGUGAAGUAGGUCCUUUUUAGGAUGUUAUAAAUGGCCUUUGUGCACUGACCCUUCUGUCAAUCCCACACCCCCUGCCACUUCAUCUGGACUCAGUGCUUCUGCUGUAACGAUGGUGGUGGCGAUGACAGUAUCUGACAUCUUUGGAGCUCUGUCGAUGCACCAAGCUGUGUUCUAAGCACUUGACCUUUGGUAUCUCAGUUGUUCUUCACAGCCCUGCAAAGUAGUUUGAUGAGUAGUAUUUUUAUAGAUGAGGAAUAUGAGCUAUGGAGAAGUUAAGUAACUGUCCCAAGGUCACAAGUCUCCCAAGGUGACUCCACUGUGUGCAGUUCACUUCAGGACAUUUCCACUGUGUAGACUGUGGACAUCUCAGGUCUUCCAUCUAGCAAGCACUUCACCCUUGAAGAUACAGUUUAAGUGCCAUAUCUUCAAAGCUGCCUGUUGCCUCCAGAGGCUGACUUCCGUGCUCUUGGGCUGGGCUGCACUCAGCCUGUGCCGACUCCUAUUACGGCAGCACCCAUCACUCUGUCCUCCCUGCUGGCUUCCGUGACUGUCUCCUCCUCUGCACUGAGAACACCCUGCACUGAGAACACCUGUCUGCUCUCUAACAUGUGGCACACUGCCUGUCACUCAGCAGAUUUUCAGUAAAAUGUACACACUCAGAAAGUGGGUAGCGAUGUGGCCAGGCCACACGGAUCACCAACAGGCUAAAAAAACACAGUUAUACGGAGGGGCUGAGAGUCCCAUUUACAAUUUUAAUUUGGAAAUUGUGUUUGGCAGCAGCUACUUUAGACCGUGGACUAGUCAAGACUGCAUUGAUGAUAAAAAAAAUAAAAUAAAAUACAGUUCUGGAAAAAUACCCUAAAAGUACUAUGAAACCUGUUGGUAGGUGUGUCAGUUGGUGUCACCUACCUGAAAAGCAACUGGGUAAAAUGCAUCGAGGGCCUGAAAAAUAUAAAUGGGUUUUUACCCACUUCUAGAAAUUUUUUCCAAGGACAAACAAAAGUAUAUAGAAAUAAGUAUGCAUGGGUAUUACUGCAACAUUGCCUUAAAAAUGGAAAGUUGGGUUGAAAUGCGGAUGCCCAUGGUUAGGAAAAUGGUUAAGAGCACUGUGCUACCAUCAAAGAUAUGGGCUCUAUGAAGCUAUUUAUAGCAUAUGUACAAAGAUUUUGUAAUGACACAGUAAAGGUUUAUGAUAUGUUAAAAAAGCAAACAAACAAAAAAGUCUUAGGAUACAGAACUCUAUACACAGCCUGAUUUCAACAACAUAAGAAGUAUGCGAAAACUAGAAGGAAAUACAUGAAAAAUGUUAGCAAUGAUUAUCUCUAAUGGGUGAAACUGGGUAAUAUUUUUUCCUUUAUAGGUUCCUUUACUUCCCAAGUUUUACACAUUGGGCAUGUAUUGCUUUAAUAUUUAGGGGGAGAAUUAGGUUUUUAAAACACCGUGUGAGACAAAACAUGUUAUUAUAAAUGAAUAAAGUUGAGAGGUAAUUUCUUAAUUAAAUGAAAAAUAUGCCAUAUCUCUAAAAUUUAAAAAAAUGAAUGGAAUUAAACAAAUAUCAUUAAAAAGGAUUUAUAAUAAGUAGAAACUGUAUGGUUUUUUUUCUCUUUGGCUGCACUCAUGGCAUGCAGAAGUUUCUGGGCCAGGGAUUGAACCUGCACCACAGCAGUGACCCCCGAGCCACAGCAGUGACAACACUGGAUCAUUAAUCUGCUGAGCCACCAAGGAAUUCCAGAGCUGGAUGGUUUCAUGGGGGAAAGAGCAAUUUGCAUUUUAGAAGAUCUGGUUAAUAGUAUUUGUUUCAGUAAUUAUAUAACCCAGGACAGUCAUUUAGCCUCUUCUUAAGUUUCAUCAUUUGUAAAAAUGAAUUAGUUGAAUCAGAUGACCUUCGAGUUCCCUCCUGGCUCUAAAAAGCCUAUGACCUUUAUCCAUCGAUUGAUCCACGUUUAUCUCAUAAGCACAAAAAUCCACAGUUACUUGAUUGCACUACAGGAGGUGCUGAGUGCGAAUCCUUGGAAACCUCCCUGUGCAAGUAGAAAGUUGGUGACUAACUCCUGAGAUUAGAGUCAGUGUGGCUGUGAGGACCAGGGAGUAAAAAGGAGGAAAACGUGAUAGAGGAAGAGUGGUGGGGAAGGCAUGGAGGAGCCGGGAAAGGCUCGAUGGUUUGAAGAGGAAGAUUCCUGUUUCACACACAGAGCCAGCGAGGGCUGCAUGGCAGGCAGUCUGCCGUCGGGGUUGAUUGAUCAAUGGUUGAGAGGCUGCCUGACAACUCACCAAAGGAAGAACAGGGCCUGGAGAAGGGGAUGACCUUUCACCCUCAGGCUCCCAGCACAAAUUCCCCAGGAGACCCAGUGUCUUAUCACCAAGUGGAGUUAGAAGUGAAUGCCUGAAAACAAAGUUCCACCCAGGAGAUGGCCAAAGGGUAGGUUUUUGACUUGCGAGUAAAAACUAGUGAAAGAAAUGCUUUUAACCAGAAAGAAAGCAAAGCAUUUGGCCCAAAAUGUAAAAGAGGGGUAAAGAGAAAGGAGGAGUACUGUGGAAUUCAAAGGCCUGUGUCCUAAUCCUGGCUUUGCUGCUUCUUGCUGGGUGGCCAGCCGGCCAUUCACCAGUUCCUGCCUCACUUUCUCUCAGUCAAAAUGGAGCCGGCAAGCCCUGUUCCCAGCACCAUGGAGGGUGUUAGAAGAAUCACAGAUGCCAAGUGAUGGCGCUGUAUAAAUCCAGAGUGUCCAAAGUCCUGUUUUUCUUUCUCCUUGAAGGAGGUGAUUCUUUCAAGGGGUAGAGGGGAAGAGACAAAAAACAGAAAAGAGAGAGAUCAGCUUCCUCCCAGCCUAGGGGAACAUCCCUCUAAUCACAUUUCUGAAGACAGCAGAUGUUAAAUCAUGGAAAUCCUACAGCCUAAACUGUGCCUGCAAUUAUCUAAGUUCUUCUAAGUCAAAGAGCCUUGGAAUUCUCGGAGACACAGUGAAUACUUGGAAUAUCCGCAUGUCUUGUUCAUGUAGCAGAUAGUAACAAUAUUUACUUUCUUCUAAUAUUAUUUGAAUCUGCAACUGCCAUUAGUCACUGUUGCAUUUUAUUUUGCCUGUAAAGCCUUCUAGCUUAGUGCUUGGAACGUAGUGCAGUUAUAGUUGUUUAGUAUGUCCUUAAGGGUAGAGGCUAUGCCUUCUGCUCCUCUUGUAUUUUUUAGAAGGGUGAAACAGAUGCUCAAGUUCAUGUUUCACUUACAAACCAGCGCAUCCCUUCCCAUGACAUGACUAUUAUUCCCGGAGUCGGCAUUUAGCUGUGCCCUGCAAGCACAGCAAGCCUGUCUGUAACUCCUGCAUAACACAAGAGAGGGUCAGGUGAAGGUGUUGGGGUUUCAUUUUAGGAAUGAUAAUGGCAGUUCAUUUCUAUUUAUGGAUUUAAUUGAUGCUAAUCCAGAAGCUCUGAAAUCACAUUGAUUCUCUACCACGUACCUCCCAUGAAGGAUGAUGGUUUGGAGACCUCUGUCAAUCACCCACAGAGGAGAUGAGUGCCCAAGUAUUUCCAAUUUUAAGGAGCCCAUUUAAUCUAAUCAGUUUCAGAGAGUCUUCCUUCCUCUGAGCCAUGCAGGGAUUAAAUUCUAUAAGAGCACCUUUUCCAUUAAAGAAACUGAUUGCAAACUUUCCUUCUAAUUGUGACAGUGCUCACCUGCUCAAAGUAAACAGUUCUGGAAAUGUACGUUCAUUUUGCCUCAGUUAUUUGGCUGAGGAGAGUGGGGUUUCAACAGAAAUUUAUGAAGUUAAAAUUUGACACCUAUCCUCCCUCAUAAAGCAGUUUGUGCCUAAGGUGAGUUGAGAGACUACAAAAUGAACCUGAUCCCAUCAGCCACUUUUUAAGAGCCACAAUUAUUUGGUUAU
rnacentral:lncRNA from 1 species